rnacentral:sRNA from 1 species
AGAGCCUUGGCCCUCCCUGGGAGUCUGGUCGGCGGGCUGUGGGGUCCCAAAAUCGUGACCCCGGCCCCUCUCCCCUCCUCCCCCACCAUGUCCCAUGUCAGGAUCAGUUCGAGGUGCUCGAGCGCCACACGCAGUGGGGGCUGGACCUGUUGGACAGAUAUGUAAAGUUCGUGAAAGAACGCACCGAAGUGGAACAGGCUUACGCCAAACAACUGCGGAGCCUGGUGAAAAAAUAUCUGCCCAAGAGACCUGCCAAGGAUGAUCCUGAGUCCAAAUUCAGCCAGCAACAGUCCUUCGUACAGAUUCUCCAGGAGGUGAAUGACUUUGCAGGCCAGCGGGAGCUGGUGGCUGAGAACCUCAGUGUCCGUGUAUGUCUUGAGCUGACCAAGUACUCACAAGAGAUGAAACAGGAGAGGAAGAUGGUGAGGAGCCCCCCGAUUCAGGUUUUACAAAGGGCUUCUGCUGGAACCCUGGCGAGCCUUAUCACUCUUCUUUCUGUAGCACUUCCAAGAAGGGCGGCGGGCCCAGCAGCAGCUGGAAAAUGGCUUUAAACAGCUGGAGAAUGUGAGUUUGCAGAGGUAGCAGUGACUGUGGCCCGGAGGCACAGGGGCAGGGUUGCGGAUCCGGAGUCAGGGAGCUGCCCUCUUUGUCAGACCUGGACCUUCCCUCCCCCAUAGGCUUCCAGUACUCCCUUGUCCCCUACUUACUGGAUGACAUCCCAAUAAUCCCUGAAACCUUGGUUUCCCACCCUGCUGUCUUUGGGAUGGUGGCUCCCUCACUCCGGUUCUGUCCCCUACACAGAGUAAGCGUAAAUUUGAGCGGGACUGCCGGGAGGCAGAGAAGGCAGCCCAGACUGCUGAACGGCUAGACCAGGAUAUCAACGCCACCAAGGCUGAUGUGGAGAAGGCCAAGCAGCAAGCCCACCUUCGGAGUCAUAUGGCCGAAGAAAGCAAAAACGAAUAUGCAGCUCAACUCCAGCGCUUCAACCGAGACCAAGCCCACUUCUAUUUUUCACAGAUGCCCCAGAUAUUCGAUGUGAGUGCUCCCAGUUCUCAGACCUACCUUCCUGAAAGCCUCCAAAUGUUAGCC